AGGGCCUGUUGUGUGAAAUAUUGGUUAUUACAUUCAUUGUAUUCUGUCUUGCUCACUAGGAGGCUAAUAAUGAAGGAGUGAGUAAAAGAGCCAGUGCCAUGAAAGUUAUCUCAUGGCCCCAGAUGCUGGAUAAGUUGAAGAAGGCAGAAAUCACUUCUGGAUGACAUUCAGGUCUGAAUGAUGAUUUGAAGAAGAAAAGACUAUUAUUUCCAAGCUUCAGCGAUAUUUUCCUGAAACAAAAGAUCCACUCCAGACUCUGCCACACCUAAAAAGAAGUUUUAAGGAAAUUGCCAGGCUCAUGUAUGAGAGAAUUACUCACAAAGGAGAAAAUGAGAAAAGGCACAUAGAUACUGUGGAUACUUCUGUAAAGUACCAAAGAUCUGUUUCAGAAAUGAUCUCACAAGAUCCACUGACUCUCAACAAAACCUGAGAUGGAAUUGCUCCAGUUAAGUGAACUAGGUAUCAAAUUACAGAUGAACUGUCUACUUUUGUCAGUAUUAAAGAGUAUGCUGCACAAAAUUCAAGGACACGUCUUUACUUCACAGUGUUGCCUUUCAUCUUUGAAGCUAUUUAAUUCAUCUGAAUAUAAAGAUACCAUGCAAUGUAUAUGCCAUGAAAGUUAUU